GACGAACGCUGGCGGCGUGCUUAACACAUGCAAGUCGAACGGAAAGGCCCUGCUUUUGUGGGGUGCUCGAGUGGCGAACGGGUGAGUAACACGUGAGUAACCUGCCCUUGACUUUGGGAUAACUUCAGGAAACUGGGGCUAAUACCGGAUAGGAGCCCCUGCUGCAUGGUGGGGGUUGGAAAGUUUCGGCGGUUGGGGAUGGACUCGCGGCUUAUCAGCUUGUUGGUGGGGUAGUGGCUUACCAAGGCUUUGACGGGUAGCCGGCCUGAGAGGGUGACCGGCCACAUUGGGACUGAGAUACGGCCCAGACUCCUACGGGAGGCAGCAGUGGGGAAUAUUGCACAAUGGGCGGAAGCCUGAUGCAGCAACGCCGCGUGCGGGAUGACGGCCUUCGGUUUGUAAACCGCUUUCGCCUGUGACGAAGCGUGAGUGACGGUAAUGGGUAAAGAAGCACCGGCUAACUACGUG
rnacentral:rRNA from 1 species